rnacentral:rRNA from 1 species
UUCGCAAUGCCCGAAAGGGUGACGAUGCGACGCCGCGUGGAGGAUGAAGGCCUUCGGGUUGUAAACUCCUGUCAGGGCAAAAGAAAGGGAGGGGAGGAAACUCCCUGACCUUGACUCAGCCCAAAGGAAGCCCCGGCUAACUCCGUGCCAGCAGCAGCGGUAAAACGGAGAGGGCGAGCGUUGUUCGGAAUUACUGGGCGUAAAGGGCACGUAGGCGGGUCUGUAUGUCAGGGGUGAAAGUCCUCGGCCCAACCGGGGAAAGUCCCCUGAAACUGCAGGUCUGGAGCGAAGCAGGGGGGAGUGGAACUCUCGGUGGAGCGGUGAAAUGCGUUGAUAUCGAGGGGAACGUCGGCGGCGAAGGCGACUCCCUAUGCUUCUGCUGACGCUGAGGUGCGAAAGCCAGGGGAGCGAACGGGAUUAGAUACCCCGGUAGUCCUGGCCCUAAACGGUGGGCACUAAGUAGAGGGGUUUU